AUUGAACGCUGGCGGCAUGCCUUACACAUGCAAGUCGAACGGUAACAGGUCUUCGGAUGCUGACGAGUGGCGAACGGGUGAGUAACACAUCGGAACGUGCCUAGUAGUGGGGGAUAACUACUCGAAAGAGUGGCUGAUACCGCAUGAGAUCUACGGAUGAAAGCAGGGGAUCGCAAGACCUUGUGCUACUAGAGCGGCCGAUGGCAGAUUAGGUAGUUGGUGGGAUAAAAGCUUACCAAGCCGACGAUCUGUAGCUGGUCUGAAAGGACGAUCAGCCACACUGGGACUGAGAAACGGCCCAGACUCCUACGGGAGGCAGCAGUGGGGAAUUUUGGACAAUGGGCGCAAGCCUGAUCCAGCAAUGCCGCGUGCAGGAUGAAGGCCUUCGGGUUGUAAACUGCUUUUGUACGGAACGAAAAGCCCCGGGUUAAUACCCUGGGGUCAUGACGGUACCGUAAGAAUAAGCACCGGCUAACUACGUGCCAGCCGCCGCCGUAA
rnacentral:rRNA from 1 species